UACGGGGGGGGCAAGCGUUGUUCGGAAUUACUGGGCGUAAAGGGCUCGUAGGUGGCCAACUAAGUCAGACGUGAAAUCCCUCGGCUUAACCGGGGAACUGCGUCUGAUACUGGAUGGCUUGAGUUUGGGAGAGGGAUGCGGAAUUCCAGGUGGAGCGGUGAAAUGCGUAGAGAUCUGGAAGAACACCAAUGGCGAAGGCAGCAUCCUGGGAAGACCCUGACGCUAAUGUGCGAAAGCUAGGGGAGCGAACGGG
rnacentral:rRNA from 1 species